rnacentral:tRNA from 1 species
UAUAUGUUAGUGUAAAUGCAUAAGAAGCUUUGACCUUCUAGGUUUUGGUGAGAAUCCUUUACAUAUAA